rnacentral:lncRNA from 1 species
UGAAAUAUAAAAAAGUGCUAUAUUGUGUAAUAUGAAUUUAAACGCAUUCUGUUGUCAUAUAUAACAAAUUAGAACAAAUGAAAAAAUUAAUAAAAUGAAAUGUAAAUUUAAAAAGUAUAUAUAUAUGUGUGUGUGUGUAUAUAUAUAUAUAUAUAUAUAUCAACAACAAAUGGAUCAAGGAACUAGAAUUGGACCAGAGAUCCUGUGCCUAAUAGAAGAAAAAGUAGACCCAAAUCUUUAUCAUGUUGGAUUAGACCCCUAUUCUUAACAAGACUCCUAAAGUGCAAGAAAUAAAAUCGAGAAUCAAUAAAUGGGAUAGUUUCAAACUGAAAAGCCUGUUCUCAGCAAAAGAAAAAAAUCAGUGAGGUGAAUGCAGAACCUACAGACUUGGAGCAAAUUUUUAUAUCAGAGCACUGAUCUCCAGGACAUAUAAACAACUCAAAAAGUUAACACUAAAAACACAAAUAACCCAAUCAAUAAAUGUGAUAAGGAACUGAACAGACCCUUCUCUGAAGAAGAUAUUCAAUUGAUCAACAAACAUAUGAAAGAAUGUUCAACAACUCUAGCAAUUAGAGAAAUGCAAAUUAAAACCACUCUGAGAUUUCAUCUCUUUCCAGUCAGAAUGGCAGUUAUUAAGAAUACAAGCAAUAAUAAGUGUUGGCAAGGAUGUGGGGAUAAAGGCACACUCACACAUUGUUGGUGGGACUGCAAAUUAGUGCACCCAAUCUGGAAAGCAGUAUGGAGAUUCCUUGGAAAACUUGGAAUGGAACCACCCUUUGGCUCAGCAAUCCCACUUCUCAGUUUAUACUGAAAGAACUUAAAAACAGAAUACUUUAGUGACACAGCCACAUCAAUGUUUAUAGUAGCACAAUUAACAAUAGCUAAAUUGUGAAGCCAAAUAUGUCCUUCAAUGGAUGAAUGGAUAAAGAAACUGUACACAUACACAAUGGAAUAUUACUUGGCAUUAAAAGAGAAUAAAAUCAUGGCAUUUGCAGGAAAAUGGAUGGAGUUAGAGAAUAUCAAGCUAAGUGAAGU